GGAGAGGUGGCAGAGUCCGGUUGAUCGCGCACGACUCGAAAUCGUGUAAUGGGUAACCAUUCGUGGGUUCGAAUCCCACCCUCUCCGCCA
rnacentral:tRNA from 1 species